UACGAAGGGGGCUAGCGUUGCUCGGAAUUACUGGGCGUAAAGGGCGCGUAGGCGGAUAUCUAAGUUGGGGGUGAAAUCCCGGGGCUCAACCUCGGAAUUGCCUUCAAAACUGGAUAUCUUGAGUUCGGGAGAGGUGAGUGGAACUCCGAGUGUAGAGGUGAAAUUCGUAGAUAUUCGCAAGAACACCAGUGGCGAAGGCGGCUCACUGGCCCGAUACUGACGCUGAGGCACGAAAGCGUGGGGAGCAAACAGG
rnacentral:rRNA from 1 species